UUUAAAAAAAAAAAAAAAAAACCGGGAAGAGAGGCGGUGCAAGAUGUUUUCCUGAUAUCAAGUUUGAGCAGAUAUUUUGUGUUUUCCAAGGACGAGACAUCCCAGCGGUAAAGUCAACAUAAUGCUGUGGAUGGAGACAGAAUUGCUUCUGCUGUUUAUUUUUCCUUCGAUUUCAGCCCAGAACUCUGAACUACCAGCAGUAAUGGACAGUGACAUGCUCGCCAAAUUUGCUUACCAACCUGGGCCAUCGUACCUGAGUCUGAUCCUGUUGGCUCUAACCGUGGGACUGUCUGGCAGUGUUUACCUCUGCGUGCUGCGGUACAUUUGCACUGGCUGCUGCCAGCCUGUAGUUGUUGGACCUGAAGAUGAGAGCAUGUCAGGAGUGGUGUGAUAGCAGCUUUUGUUUGAAAGAGUGUGUGUAUUUAUUAGCUUGUGUUCUGAAGCACUUAUGCUAGUCAUCUUGAGUAGUAACGUUAAUUUUCAGGUGUUCGCAAGGUUUCACAACAUAAACAACGAAGAUCACCACAACGUUUAAUUUUCCUUUAUUUUCAAACUUAAACAGCAAUGUUAUUUUGAAAAUUUAGAGAAUAGUUUAACACUGCAGUUUUUCCUCAUUUACUUUUGUGUUUUAUGUUUUGGUCCCUGCACCUGUUGAACAUGUUUUGGAUGUGUGUAUUUGUGUAUUUAAGUACUACACACUGGUUAAGGAAACCUCUGAAUGCAAUAUUUUUAUGUUCUCAUGUUCCUUAUGAAACACUUAACUAUUAAUUAUUCUUUUUUUAUUCAUGUAUCAGAGUUGAAGGCUGAGUUGUUAAGGACAUCAGAAUGUUAAAACUGUAAGAUAGAAUUUGUAUAAUAAAUUGCUUGUCGCUUGUUAGCCACUUGAGAUAAAAGCCUGUGCUACAUGACUGCGUGUAAAUGUGAAAUUCACAGCUCUAAAGCCUGACUGUAUGUUGUCAGUAAAACCAUUCAUUUAGCAUCUACGGAGUCAGGCAUUUGACCAUAUGAAUGACCCAAGUGUUGACCAAAUGAGAGGGAGGAGUAAACCAUUUUGGCAGGCUUUGGAUGCUCUGUCGGUCAAGAGAAAUCACAAAUGAUCUGGUUGUGUUUUUAUGACACAGUCGGCAGUACCACACACUGUACUAUAAAUGAAUGUACAAAGAGCUUUUGUAAAAACAAGGUAAAACAAUU